AGGCUAGAUAACAAAAUGGUUAUGUGUAAGAUUGCAAAUCUUAAAAUAUCGGUUCGAGUCCGAUUCUAGCCUU
rnacentral:tRNA from 1 species